GGAGACGUAUCGAAGAGGUCAUAACGAGCUCGACUCGAAAUCGAGUUGUCGGUUAAUCCCGGCACGUGGGUUCGAAUCCCACCGUCUCCG
rnacentral:tRNA from 1 species